ACAAUGCCUUGCUAGAUAAAUAUUGCUUGAAUGAUUGAAUGAGGCUGUGGCAUAAUGAGACUUCAUCUCCAAAGACUUCAAAUACCCUGGAGGCCAGUAAUACCUGAUAACUGUUACCAUCUCAUACAUGGCCAGUUUGAUCACUCUGCAGAAUCAAAUGCUGAAUUUAGGCAAAUACAGGGAGUCAACGAACAGGUGGAUUUCUAACAGAAUACCAAUCGAUUCAGCCAGCAUGGGCAGGCCAGCUGUGUCUGUCGAUGCAAUAAUUAGCACCUGGCAGCACCUGUGCAGACCAGCCUGCCAUCAGUGUUUACAAGCCGGAAUUGAAGAGGUCUCUCAGCAAGCUGACCACAAAGGAGUGAAGAGGCAAAUGUUCUCUGAUUUUUUUCAUCAUAAUAUCCUCUGAUGACAUCAGCUGUGUUUGGGAGUUGCCGGUAUGAUUCAGUUUGCUGUUCUAGAAGAAACUUCAACUGAGGUAUUUGGAAAUGUGAUCAUGAAACCACAAUUGUGCAUUAAAAUUCCAAUGCUGUCACUGUUUU
rnacentral:lncRNA from 1 species